GACGUAGGGCGCGAGCGUUGUCCGGAUUUAUUGGGCGUAAAGGGCUCGUAGGCGGUUCGUCGCGUCUGCCGUGAAAGACUACAGCUUAACUGUGGUUUUGCGGUGGAUACGGGCGGGCUUGAGGCCAGUAGGGGAGAUCGGAAUUCUACGUGUAGCGGUGAAAUGCGCAGAUAUGUGGAGGAACACCGGUGGCGAAGGCGGAUCUCUGGGCUGGUUCUGACGCUGAGGAGCGAAAGCAUGGGGAGCGAAC
rnacentral:rRNA from 1 species